AGAAUCAACGCUGGCGGCGUGCCUAACACAUGCAAGUCGAACGAGAAAGUGGAGCAAUCCAUGAGUAAAGUGGCGCACGGGUGAGUAACACGUGACUAACCUACCCUUGAGUGGGGAAUAACUUCGGGAAACCGAGGCUAAUACCGCAUAACACCUACGGUCAAAGGAGCAAUUCGCUUAAGGAGGGGUCGCGGCAGAUUAGUUAGUUGGCGGGGUAAUGGCCCACCAAGACGGUGAUCUGUA
rnacentral:rRNA from 1 species